rnacentral:rRNA from 1 species
UACGGAAGGCAGCAGCGGGGAAUAUUGCACAAUGGGCGCAAGCCUGAUGCAGCCAUGCCGCGUGUAUGAAAAAGGCCUUCGGGUUGUAAAGUACUUUCAGUCGUGAGGAAGGUGUUAAGGUUAAUAACCUUAGCAAUUGACGUUAGCGACAGAAGAAGCACCGGCUAACUCCGUGCCAGCAGCCGCGGUAAUACGGAGGGUGCGAGCGUUAAUCGGAAUUACUGGGCGUAAAGGGCACGCAGGCGGUUAAUUAAGUUGGAUGUGAAAUCCCCGGGCUUAACCUGGGAAUGGCAUUCAAGACUGGUUAGCUAGAGUCUUGUAGAGGGGGUAGAAUUCCAUGUGUAGCGGUGAAAUGCGUAGAGAUGUGGAGGAAUACCGGUGCGAAGGCGGCCCCUGGACAAGACUGACGCUCAUGUGCGAAAGCGUGGGGAGCAAACGAGGAUUAGAUACC